rnacentral:lncRNA from 1 species
ACUGACUCUGGGGAGCCACUCGGAAACCGUGUCUUGUGUUCUCACCGCUGCCUCUGACUGCAUAAGAGUCCUGGUCCCGUUCAGGUCUCCAUUUUGCAGUGAGCAGGGAAGUAGUUUUCCCGGUCUCCCCAUAGGGAUGGCUAUGUAGCCACUCUUGCUGCACUGUGCAGUCUCCAGUCUGCGGUGGUGGUGAGCUAUUUUCUCUGUACCAGUGAAUCCUAUUUUCUUCUCUGUCAAUUCCCUCAUGGUUCCUAUGAGCCCUCCACUCACUUUGAUUCCUUUCUGGGCUGUUGUUUUCCAGACUCUCAGCAGUUUGUCCUGGAGAAGCUAAGGUGCUGGCAGUCACCACUCUGCCAUUUCUCUCACUGCUAACCACUGAAUUUGAUUUAGUCCUCAUCCAACUUGGUUUAUGACCCGAAUCGUGGAAAGAAUCAAGUUUGUGAACCAGGGGCCUGUGGUUCUUGGAGAUGUCUUUGUGCUCCAGAGGCUGCUCUGUUUAUCCUGCCCCUGGCUGUGGGUACCAUUCAAGGUAAGGCAUGUGCUUGCUCUCU